rnacentral:rRNA from 1 species
CCUACGGGAGGCAGCAGUGGGGGAGAUUGCACAAUGGGGGAAACCCUGAUGCAGCGACGCCGCGUGUGGGAAGACGGUCCUCUGGAUUGUAAACCACUGUCCCCAGGGACGAAGAUGACGGUACCGGGGGAGGAAGCGCCGGCCAACUACGUGCAAGCAGCCGCGGUAAGACGUAGGGAGCGAGCGGGGGCCGGAAGGACUGGGGGUACAGGGAGCGUAGGCGGGACUGCAAGUUGGGGGGCAAAUCUACCGGCUCAACCGGUAGCCGCACUCCAAACGGCAGUUCGUGAGGGCAGUAGAGGCCGUCGGCAUUCCUAGUGUAGCGGUGCAUUGCGUAGAUAUUAGGAGGCACCCCAGUGUCGACGGCGGCCUGCUGGGCUUUUCCUGCCGCUGAGGCUCGACAGUGUGGGGCGCAAACAGGAUUCGCUACCCGUGUAGUC